AGAGUUUGAUCCUGGCUCAGAUUGAACGCUGGCGGCAGGCCUAACACAUGCAAGUCGAGCGGAUGAAGAGAGCUUGCUCUCUGAUUCAGCGGCGGACGGGUGAGUAAUGCCUAGGAAUCUGCCUGGUAGUGGGGGACAACGUUUCGAAAGGAACGCUAAUACCGCAUACGUCCUACGGGAGAAAGCAGGGGACCUUCGGGCCUUGCGCUAUCAGAUGAGCCUAGGUCGGAUUAGCUAGUUGGUGAGGUAAAGGCUCACCAAGGCGAUGAUGGUUAGCUGGUCUGAGAGGAUGAUCAGCCACACUGGAACUGAAACACGGUCCAGACUCCUACGGGAGGCAGCAGUGAGGAAUUUUGCGCAAUGGGGGAAACCCUGACGCAGCGACGCCGCGUGGGUGAUGAAGGCCUUCGGGUUGUAAAGCCCUGUCAGGUGGGAAGAAGUGUACCAUGGCUAAUAUCCAUGGUAUUUGACGGUACCACCAAAGGAAGCACCGGCUAACUCCGUGCCAGCAGCCGCGGUAAUACGGAGGGUGCAAGCGUUGUUCGGAUUUACUGGGCGUAAAGGGCGCGUAGGCGGUCUUAUAAGCCAGAUGUGAAAGCCCACGGCUCAACCGUGGAAGUGCAUCUGGAACUGUGAGACUUGAGUAUGGGAGAGGAAAGUGGAAUUCCCGGUGUAGAGGUGAAAUUCGUAGAUAUCGGGAGGAAUACCGGUGGCGAAGGCGACUUUCUGGACCAAUACUGACGCUGAGGCGCGAAAGCGUGGGUAGCAAACAGGAUUAGAUACCCUGGUAGUCC
rnacentral:rRNA from 1 species